rnacentral:rRNA from 1 species
GACGAACGCUGGCGGCGUGCCUAAUACAUGCAAGUCGAGCGAAUUUUUGGGAGCUUGCUCCCAAAGGUUAGCGGCGGACGGGUGAGUAACACGUGGGCAACCUGCCUAUAAGACUGGGAUAACUUCGGGAAACCGGAGCUAAUACCGGAUAAUUCAUAUCUACUCAUGUGGGUAUGCUGAAAGACGGUUUACGCUGUCACUUAUAGAUGGGCCAGCGGCGCAUUAGCUAGGUGGUGAGGUAACGGCUCACCAAGGCAACGAUGCGUAGCCGACCUGAGAGGGUGAUCGGCCACACUGGGACUGAGACACGGCCCAGACUCCUACGGGAGGCAGCAGUAGGGAAUCUUCCGCAAUGGACGAAAGUCUGACGGAGCAACGCCGCGUGAGUGAUGAAGGUUUUCGGAUCGUAAAGCUCUGUUGUUAGGGAAGAAUAAGUACUAGAGUAACUGCUAGUACCUUGACGGUACCUAACCAGAAAGCCACGGCUAACUACGUGCCAGCCGCCGCCGUAAGAC